CGAGUGGCGGACGGGUGAGUAAUGUCUGGGAAACUGCCUGAUGGAGGGGGAUAACUACUGGAAACGGUAGCUAAUACCGCAUAACGUCGCAAGACCAAAGAGGGGGACCUUCGGGCCUCUUGCCAUCAGAUGUGCCCAGAUGGGAUUAGCUAGUAGGUGGGGUAACGGCUCACCUAGGCGACGAUCCCUAGCUGGUCUGAGAGGAUGACCAGCCACACUGGAACUGAGACACGGUCCAGACUCCUACGGGAGGCAGCAGUGGGGAAUAUUGCACAAUGGGCGCAAGCCUGAUGCAGCCAUGCCGCGUGUAUGAAGAAGGCCUUCGGGUUGUAAAGUACUUUCAGCGGGGAGGAAGGCGAUGUGGUUAAUAACCGCGUCGAUUGACGUUACCCGCAGAAGAAGCACCGGCUAACUCCGUGCCAGCAGCCGCGGUAAUACGGAGGGUGCAAGCGUUAAUCGGAAUUACUGGGCGUAAAGCGCACGCAGGCGGUCUGUCAAGUCGGAUGUGAAAUCCCCGGGCUCAACCUGGGAACUGCAUCCGAAACUGGCAGGCUUGAGUCUCGUAGAGGGGGGUAGA
rnacentral:rRNA from 1 species